GCUUAAGGAGGCCACACGGAAUCCGCAGACGUCUCACCGGUCGACCAGUUUUCUCAUACGGUCGACAUAUGAAGUUUUGAACAAAGAUACGUCGAAGGCACAUCGAGGACUCGACGCGGAGGAAAGGAAUUGAAAGGAAUUGAAAGGAAGACGACGUUGCACCGUGAUUCCCGGUAAAAUAGUUUCUUCUGCAUGCGGCGAUGCGGGGCCCCACAUCCCGCAGGGGCACGUAGCCGGGGGCCCGCGGCGCGGUUGCAUUUGCACGUGUGCCGAACCUCCGCCCGGGGCAAACCGGUAUACGUUUUUCCGGCCGACGGAAAUACGACACUCCUCGACGACGACGACGACGACGACGGUCCCUCGAGCUCUCUCUCGUCAGCGGAUAUGUGAGCAGUCGCUGUAACAGCCACGGGUAAAAAUGCGCGAAGCGCACACCAGAAUUUCUCGCAUAAUCGCCCCCGUCGUCGUGAGGUGAGAUCUUGGAUUUCGCUCUCCUUCGCAGGAAUAUCCUCGCGUUGGGAACGAGAGAAAAAAUGGGAAUAGAAAUCGACGCGGAGAAUCGUCGUCACGAAGAGGAGGAAGAGAGUGCUUGAGCGCUUGUGUGCUCAGAAAAAUAUAUGGUUAUGUCAUAACGAAUGGAAUGAUUCUCAGAUACGAAUACAAUGAACUGAAAUUAAAA